rnacentral:rRNA from 1 species
AUUGAACGCUGGCGGCAGGCUUACCACAUGCAAGUCGAGCGAGCGGCGGACGGGUGAGUAAUGUCUGGGAAACGGCCUGAUGGCGGGGGAUAACUCCUGGAAACGGUAGCUAAUACCGCAUCCCAUCAGAUGUGCCCAGAUGGGAAUAGCUAGUAGGUGGGGUAAUGGCUCACCUGGGCGACGAUCCCUAGCUGGUAUGCGAGGAUGACCAGCCACCCUGGAACUGAGACACGGUCCGGACUCCUCCGGUAGGCAGCAGUGGGGAAUAUUGCACAAUGGGCGCACGCCUGAUGCAGCCAUGCCGCGUGUGUGAAGAAGGCCUUCGGGUUGUAAAGCACUUUCAGCGAGGAGGCGUUACUCGCAGAAGAAGCACCGGCUAACUCCGUGCCAGCAGCCGCGGUAAUUC